rnacentral:rRNA from 1 species
UACGGAGGGUGCAAGCGUUAUCCGGAUUCACUGGGUUUAAAGGGUGCGUAGGUGGGCAGGUAAGUCAGUGGUGAAAUCUCCGGGCUUAACCCGGAAACUGCGUCCGAUACUGGAAGGCUUGAAUCCGGGAGAGGGAUGCGGAAUUCCAGGUGUAGCGGUGAAAUGCGUAGAUAUCGGGAGGAACACCAGUGGCGAAGGCGACUUUCUGGCCUGUUCUUGACGCUGAGGCGCGAAAGCUAGGGGAGCAAACGGG